GUGGGGAAUCUUGCGCAAUGGGGGAAACCCUGACGCAGCGACGCCGCGUGAGUGAUGAAGGCCUUCGGGUUGUAAAGCUCUGUGGAGAGGGACGAAUAAGUGUGGUCGAAUAGGCCGCAUGAUGACGGUACCUUUUUAGCAAGCACCGGCUAACUCUGUGCCAGCAGCCGCGGUAAGACAGAGGGUGCAAACGUUGUUCGGAAUUACUGGGCGUAAAGCGCGUGUAGGCUGCUUGGAAAGUCGGAUGUGAAAGCCCUGGGCUCAACCUAGGAAGUGCAUUCGAAACUUCCAAGCUCGAGUUUCGGAGAGGAAGGCGGAAUUCUCGGUGUAGAGGUGAAAUUCGUAGAUAUCGAGAGGAACAUCGGUGGCGAAGGCGGCCUUCUGGACGAUGACUGACGCUGAGACGCGAAAGCGUGGGGAGCAAACAGGAUUAGAAACCCUAGUAGUCC
rnacentral:rRNA from 1 species